rnacentral:rRNA from 1 species
UGCCAGCAGCCGCGGUAAUUCCAGCUCCAAUAGCGUAUAUUAAAGUUGCUGCGGUUAAAACGCUCGUAGUUGAAUUGUGGUCUUAGACAACAGUCCCCCUACAAAGGUGUGGCACGGUUGCUCGAGAUCUUCAUUCGUGGUUGCUGUUGUUGCUCUUCAUUGAGUGUCAAUGGUGCCUCGAGAUUUUACUUUGAAAAAAUUAGAGUGCUCAAAGCAGGUUGUGAUGCCUGAAUAAUGGUGCAUGGAAUAAUAGAAUACGAUCUCGGUUCUAUUUUGUUGGUUUUCGAACCGGAGAUAAUGAUUGAAAGGAACAGACGGGGGCAUUCGUAUUGCUGCGUUAGAGGUGAAAUUCUUGGAUCGCAGCAAGAUGAACAAUUGCGAAAGCAUUUGCCAAGAAUGUUUUCAUUAAUCAAGAACGAAAGUUAGAGGUUCGAAGGCGAUCAGAUACCGCCCUAGUUCUAACGGUAAACUAUGCCAACCAGCGAUUCGCCGAAGUUCAUUUAAGACUCGGCGAGCAGCUUCCGGGAAACCAAAGUGUUUCGGUUCCGGGGGAAGUAUGGUUGCAAAGCUGAAACUUAAAGGAAUUGACGGAAGGGCACCACCAGGAGUGGAGCCUGCGGCUUAAUUUGACGCAACACGGGAAAACUCACCCGGCCCGGACACUGGAAGGAUUGACAGAUUGACAGCUCUUUCUUGAUUCAGUGGGUAGUGGUGCAUGGCCGUUCUUAGUUGGUGGAGCGAUUUGUCUGGUUAAUUCCGAUAACGAACGAGACUCUACCCUAUUAAAUAGUGACAGUAUUGUAUUUUUUGUGCUGAUCACUUCUUAGAGGGACUGGCAAAAAGCUGCACGAAAAAGAGCAAUAACAGGUCUGUGAUGCCCUUCGAUGUCCGGGGCUGCACGCGCGCUACAAUGAAAGCGUCAACGUGAGUUACGUCCUUACCUGAAAAGGUUUGGCAAUCGAAUGAAACGUUUUCUUGAAUGGAAUAGGGAAUUGCAAUUGUUUCCCUUGAACGAGGAAUUCCCAGUAAGCGUGAGUCAUUAGCUCGCGUUGAUUACGUCCCUGCCCUUUGUACACACCGCCCGUCGCUACUACCGAUUGGAUGAUUUAGUGAGGUGUUUUGACUGGCGCCAGUAGUCGGAUAUGUAUUCGGACGGAUCGUACAAACCGACCUUUCGAAACGGCGGCCAGACGUUCUCGUCAUCCGAAUAGUCCGACGGAUCCUGGUAGCUG